rnacentral:rRNA from 1 species
AUUGAACGCUGGCGGCAGGCCUAACACAUGCACGUCGAACGAGUGGCGGACGGGUGAGUAAUGUCUGGGAAACUGCCUGAUGGAGGGGUAUAACUACUGGAAACGGUAGCUAAUACCGCAUACCAUCGGAUGUGCCCCGAUGGGAUUAGCUAGUAGGUGGGGUAAAGGCUCACCUAGGCGACGAUCCCUAGCUGGUCUGAGAGGAUGACCAUCGACACUGGAACUGAGACACGGUACAGAAUCCUACGGGAGGAGUCAGGGGGUAAUAUGGCACAAUGGGCGCAAGCCUGAUGCAGCCAUGCCGCGGGUAUGAAGAAGGCCUUCGGGGUGUAAAGUACUUUCAGCUGUGAGGCGUUACCCGCAGAAGAAGCACCGGCUAACUCCGGGCCAGCAGCGGCGGUAGUUC